CGUUGCUUUAUGCAACCUAUCAAUGCUUCGACAGUCUGAAAGAAGCGCUUUCGAGUGACUGUAUUAAUCAAUGUUCCGAUAGUUUGAGAGGAACGCCUUCGGGUGACUACAUUAUUUGCCGGACCUGAAAAGGCAAACAGUAAAUACUCUGGGUAAACCC
rnacentral:sRNA from 1 species